rnacentral:rRNA from 1 species
GUUAAGCGACUAAGCGUACACGGUGGAUGCCCUGGCAGUCAGAGGCGAUGAAGGACGUGCUAAUCUGCGAUAAGCGUCGGUAAGGUGAUAUGAACCGUUAUAACCGGCGAUUUCCGAAUGGGGAAACCCAGUGUGAUUCGUCACACUAUCAUUAACUGAAUCCAUAGGUUAAUGAGGCGAACCGGGGGAACUGAAACAUCUAAGUACCCCGAGGAAAAGAAAUCAACCGAGAUUCCCCCAGUAGCGGCGAGCGAACGGGGAGCAGCCCAGAGCCUGAAUCAGUGUGUGUGUUAGUGGAAGCGUCUGGAAAGGCGUGCGAUACAGGGUGACAGCCCCGUACACAAAAAUGCACAUACUGUGAGCUCGAUGAGUAGGGCGGGACACGUGGUAUCCUGUCUGAAUAUGGGGGGACCAUCCUCCAAGGCUAAAUACUCCUGACUGACCGAUAGUGAACCAGUACCGUGAGGGAAAGGCGAAAAGAACCCCGGCGAGGGGAGUGAAAAAGAACCUGAAACCGUGUACGUACAAGCAGUGGGAGCACGCUUAGGCGUGUGACUGCGUACCUUUUGUAUAAUGGGUCAGCGACUUAUAUUCUGUAGCAAGGUUAACCGAAUAGGGGAGCCGAAGGGAAACCGAGUCUUAACUGGGCGUUAAGUUGCAGGGUAUAGACCCGAAACCCGGUGAUCUAGCCAUGGGCAGGUUGAAGGUUGGGUAACACUAACUGGAGGACCGAACCGACUAAUGUUGAAAAAUUAGCGGAUGACUUGUGGCUGGGGGUGAAAGGCCAAUCAAACCGGGAGAUAGCUGGUUCUCCCCGAAAGCUAUUUAGGUAGCGCCUCGUGAAUUCAUCUCCGGGGGUAGAGCACUGUUUCGGCAAGGGGGUCAUCCCGACUUACCAACCCGAUGCAAACUGCGAAUACCGGAGAAUGUUAUCACGGGAGACACACGGCGGGUGCUAACGUCCGUCGUGAAGAGGGAAACAACCCAGACCGCCAGCUAAGGUCCCAAAGUCAUGGUUAAGUGGGAAACGAUGUGGGAAGGCCCAGACAGCCAGGAUGUUGGCUUAGAAGCAGCCAUCAUUUAAAGAAAGCGUAAUAGCUCACUGGUCGAGUCGGCCUGCGCGGAAGAUGUAACGGGGCUAAACCAUGCACCGAAGCUGCGGCAGCGACGCUUAUGCGUUGUUGGGUAGGGGAGCGUUCUGUAAGCCUGUGAAGGUGUACUGUGAGGUAUGCUGGAGGUAUCAGAAGUGCGAAUGCUGACAUAAGUAACGAUAAAGCGGGUGAAAAGCCCGCUCGCCGGAAGACCAAGGGUUCCUGUCCAACGUUAAUCGGGGCAGGGUGAGUCGACCCCUAAGGCGAGGCCGAAAGGCGUAGUCGAUGGGAAACAGGUUAAUAUUCCUGUACUUGGUGUUACUGCGAAGGGGGGACGGAGAAGGCUAUGUUGGCCGGGCGACGGUUGUCCCGGUUUAAGCGUGUAGGCUGGUUUUCCAGGCAAAUCCGGAAAAUCAAGGCCGAGGCGUGAUGACGAGGCACUACGGUGCUGAAGCAACAAAUGCCCUGCUUCCAGGAAAAGCCUCUAAGCAUCAGGUAACAUCAAAUCGUACCCCAAACCGACACAGGUGGUCAGGUAGAGAAUACCAAGGCGCUUGAGAGAACUCGGGUGAAGGAACUAGGCAAAAUGGUGCCGUAACUUCGGGAGAAGGCACGCUGAUACGUAGGUGAAGCGACUUGCUCGUGGAGCUGAAAUCAGUCGAAGAUACCAGCUGGCUGCAACUGUUUAUUAAAAACACAGCACUGUGCAAACACGAAAGUGGACGUAUACGGUGUGACGCCUGCCCGGUGCCGGAAGGUUAAUUGAUGGGGUUAGCGCAAGCGAAGCUCUUGAUCGAAGCCCCGGUAAACGGCGGCCGUAACUAUAACGGUCCUAAGGUAGCGAAAUUCCUUGUCGGGUAAGUUCCGACCUGCACGAAUGGCGUAAUGAUGGCCAGGCUGUCUCCACCCGAGACUCAGUGAAAUUGAACUCGCUGUGAAGAUGCAGUGUACCCGCGGCAAGACGGAAAGACCCCGUGAACCUUUACUAUAGCUUGACACUGAACAUUGAGCCUUGAUGUGUAGGAUAGGUGGGAGGCUUUGAAGUGUGGACGCCAGUCUGCAUGGAGCCGACCUUGAAAUACCACCCUUUAAUGUUUGAUGUUCUAACGUGGACCCGUAAUCCGGGUUGCGGACAGUGUCUGGUGGGUAGUUUGACUGGGGCGGUCUCCUCCUAAAGAGUAACGGAGGAGCACGAAGGUUGGCUAAUCCUGGUCGGACAUCAGGAGGUUAGUGCAAUGGCAUAAGCCAGCUUGACUGCGAGCGUGACGGCGCGAGCAGGUGCGAAAGCAGGUCAUAGUGAUCCGGUGGUUCUGAAUGGAAGGGCCAUCGCUCAACGGAUAAAAGGUACUCCGGGGAUAACAGGCUGAUACCGCCCAAGAGUUCAUAUCGACGGCGGUGUUUGGCACCUCGAUGUCGGCUCAUCACAUCCUGGGGCUGAAGUAGGUCCCAAGGGUAUGGCUGUUCGCCAUUUAAAGUGGUACGCGAGCUGGGUUUAGAACGUCGUGAGACAGUUCGGUCCCUAUCUGCCGUGGGCGCUGGAGAACUGAGGGGGGCUGCUCCUAGUACGAGAGGACCGGAGUGGACGCAUCACUGGUGUUCGGGUUGUCAUGCCAAUGGCACUGCCCGGUAGCUAAAUGCGGAAGAGAUAAGUGCUGAAAGCAUCUAAGCACGAAACUUGCCCCGAGAUGAGUUCUCCCUGACCCUUUAAGGGUCCUGA